rnacentral:rRNA from 1 species
CGAACGAUGAAGCCCCUUCGGGGGUGGAUUAGUGGCGAACGGGUGAGUAACACGUGGGCAAUCUGCCCUGCACUCUGGGACAAGCCCUGGAAACGGGGUCUAAUACCGGAUACGACCCUCGGCCGCAUCGCCUCUGGGUGGAAAGCUCCGGCGGUGCAGGAUGAGCCCGCGGCCUAUCAGCUUGUUGGUGAGGUAACGGCUCACCAAGGCGACGACGGGUAGCCGGCCUGAGAGGGCGACCGGCCACACUGGGACUGAGACACGGCCCAGACUCCUACGGGAGGCAGCAGUGGGGAAUAUUGCACAAUGGGCGCAAGCCUGAUGCAGCGACGCCGCGUGAGGGAUGACGGCCUUCGGGUUGUAAACCUCUUUCAGCAGGGAAGAAGCGUAAGUGACGGUACCUGCAGAAGAAGCGCCGGCUAACUACGUGCCAGCAGCCGGGGGUAAUUC